rnacentral:rRNA from 1 species
AACGAACGCUGGCGGCGUGCCUAAUACAUGCAAGUUGAGCGCUGAAGGUUGGUACUUGUACCGACUGGAUGAGCAGCGAACGGGUGAGUAACGCGUGGGGAAUCUGCCUUUGAGCGGGGGACAACAUUUGGAAACGAAUGCUAAUACCGCAUAAAAACUUUAAACACAAGUUUUAAGUUUGAAAGAUGCAAUUGCAUCACUCAAAGAUGAUCCCGCGUUGUAUUAGCUAGUUGGUGAGGUAAAGGCUCACCAAGGCGAUGAUACAUAGCCGACCUGAGAGGGUGAUCGGCCACAUUGGGACUGAGACACGGCCCAAACUCCUACGGGAGGCAGCAGUAGGGAAUCUUCGGCAAUGGACGAAAGUCUGACCGAGCAACGCCGCGUGAGUGAAGAAGGUUUUCGGAUCGUAAACUCUGUUGGUAGAGAAGAACGUUGGUGAGAGUGGAAAGCUCAUCAAGUGACGGUAACUACCCAGAAAGGGACGGCUAACUACGUGCCAGCCGCCGCCGUAAUAC